CCUGCUGUACGACCAGCAGUAGCCUAGGGAGACAUGCGUCACUGGCAACGGUGGGGUGUGAAGCUCUUCUGACAAUGUAGCCCCCGGACGUUUCGGGCAGAUUGGUUCCGCGAGGAGGCGGUCUGGAUACUCCUAGCAGCAAGGGGGUAAGGCGC
rfam:Burkholderia sp. ST111 contig_38, whole genome shotgun sequence.